GACGAACGCUGGCGGCGUGCCUAACACAUGCAAGUCGAACGGACAGGCCCUGCUUUUGUGGGGUGCUCGAGUGGCGAACGGGUGAGUAACACGUGAGUAACCUGCCCUUGUCUUUGGGAUAACUUCAGGAAACUGGGGCUAAUACCGGAGAGGAGCUCCUGCUGCACGGUGGGGGAUGGAAAGAGUCGGCGGUAGGGGAUGGACUCGCGGCUUAUCAGCUUGUUGGUGAGGUAGUGGAUUACCAAGGCUUCGACGGGUAGCCGACCUGAGAGGGUGGCCGGCGUCAAUGGGACUAAGAGAGGGACCAGACUCCUACGGGAGGCAGCAGUGGGGAGUAUUGCACAGUAGGCGGGAGCCUGAUGCGACAACGCCGCGUGCGGAAUGACGGCCUUCGGGUUGUAAACCGCUUUCGCCUGUGACGAGGCGUGAGUGACGGUAAUGGGUAAAAAAGCACCGGCUAACUACGUG
rnacentral:rRNA from 1 species